rnacentral:rRNA from 1 species
UACGUAGGGACCGAGCGUUGUCCGGAUUCAUUGGGCGUAAAGAGCUCGUAGGCGGCUGCUCAAGUCGAAUGUGAAAACUCGAGGCUCAACCUCGAGCCUGCAUUCGAUACUGGGCGGCUAGAGUCUGGUAGGGGGAUCUGGAAUUCCUGGUGUAGCGGUGGAAUGCGCAGAUAUCAGGAGGAACACCGGUGGCGAAGGCGGGAUCCUGGGCCAGUACUAACGCUGAGGAGCGAAAGCGUGGGGAGCAAACAGG